UACGUAGGUGGCAGGCGUUAUCCGGAAUUAUUGGGCGUAAAGAGCGCGCAGGUGGUUAAUUAAGUCUGAUGUGAAAGCCCACGGCUUAACCGUGGAGGGUCAUUGGAAACUGGUUGACUUGAGUGCAGAAGAGGGAAGUGGAAUUCCAUGUGUAGCGGUGAAAUGCGUAGAGAUAUGGAGGAACACCAGUGGCGAAGGCGGCUCUCUGGUCUGUAACUGACGCUGAGGUUCGAAAGCGUGGGUAGCAAACAGG
rnacentral:rRNA from 1 species